rnacentral:rRNA from 1 species
CCUACGGGGGGCAGCAGUGGGGAAUAUUGCACAAUGGGGGAAACCCUGAUGCAGCGACGCCGCGUGAGUGAAGAAGUAUUUCGGUACGUAAAGCUCUAUCAGCCGGGAAGAAAAUGACGGUACCUGACUAAGAAGCCCCGGCUAACUACGUGCCAGCAGCCGCUGUAAUACGGAGGGGGCAAGCGUUAUCCGGAUUUACUGGGUGUAAAGGGAGCGUAGACGGCAGCGCAAGUCUGGAGUGAAAUCCCAUGGCUUAACCAUGGAACUGCUUUGGAAACUGUGCAGCUAGAGUGCAGGAGAGGUAAGCGGAAUUCCUGGUGUAGCGGUGAAAUGCGUAGAUAUUAGGAAGAACACCAGUGGCGAAGGCAGCUUACUGGACUGUAACUGACGUUGAGGCUCGAAAGCGUGGGGAGCAAACAGGAUUAGAUACCCGAGUAGUC